AUGACACAUACUGUAAGUCACAAUAGGUGGCAGCACCUAGCCGAUCCUGGCUGAUCUGACAUAGCACAGCAAGGCUAAACCUGGUUAAUAUUUGGAUGGGAAACCACCAGGAAAUUACAAAGCUAUGUGGCAGACAGGAAAAAAAAAACAUACUGGAAGAAUAGAAAUUGAAAAGACAACAACCAAAGACUUCUCUCAAGGCAUAGCAACAAAGGAAAAUGCAAAACAUAUGAUGGCUCAUGGAUAAACAAGGAAACAAAGGGAGGCUCCAUCAGAAAGAGCCGGCCAGAGACUGCAGAAUGGUAAUGACCUGUUAUUGGGCUUUGCUCCAAUAGCUUUGCAGCUGAUGAAUAUUAGAGGAGGCAUCAGAUAAGCUUACGACAUGAUUUAAUAACUGCAUCAGUUCAGCAGCUAUGUCAGCAGAUGUCCAGCCUAGUAAAUCUACUUAUUGCUUCUAAAAGGUCAGCAGCAGCUGAAUGAGACAGCAAAUGGGGGAAUGUGACAAA